UACGUAGGGUGCAAGCGUUAAUCGGAAUUACUGGGCGUAAAGCGUGCGCAGGCGGUUUUGUAAGUCUGUCGUGAAAUCCCCGGGCUCAACCUGGGAAUUGCGAUGGAGACUGCAAGGCUAGAAUCUGGCAGAGGGGGGUAGAAUUCCACGUGUAGCAGUGAAAUGCGUAGAGAUGUGGAGGAACACCGAUGGCGAAGGCAGCCCCCUGGGGUCAAGAUUGAC
rnacentral:rRNA from 1 species